CACGGGGGGAGCAAGGCGUUAAUCGGAAUUACUGGGCGUAAAGCGCACGCAGGUGGCUGAGUCAGUCGAUUGUGAAAGCCCCUGGGCUUAACCUGGGAAUUGCAGUCGAUACUACUCAGCUAGAGUAUGGGAGAGGGCAGUGGAAUUCCCGGUGUAGCGGUGAAAUGCGUAGAUAUUGGGAGGAACACCGGUGGCGAAGGCGGCGACCUGGUUCGAUACUGACACUGAGGUGCGAAAGCGUGGGGAGCAAACAGG
rnacentral:rRNA from 1 species